AAGUCCCAAGAUCCACAAAAAUAGAAGUCAAAGGCACCUCAGAACGGCACCAGGAGAAAACCCCAAUUCCGAAUGUCACUGCAUCCUCCAUUACACAGGGUUUCUCUGCGCAGCUCCCAACCAGGAGUCCGCAAACCCCGUAUCUACGCCAGGCGUUACAACAUGAAGUUUGCGGAGCACAACCCGGCCGCGCAUUCCCACUGAUAAUGAAGAAACAAAUUGGAGCUUCUGGAACAAACCCUAAGCCAGGCUCGGACAUGGGUCUGCCCGCGGAGAGCCCUCCCGUCCUGCUCCGGGAGCGCUUUGUUUUAGGCCUCACACACACACAAGGCGCGGGGAGGAAAGUCGGGGAGCUCGGCACAACUCGCCCUUCAAACCUGACAGAACUUGGCUGGGGAGUGUGAAAGAAGAAAUUAAACAGUAGUAAAUACAGGCGGGACAAAAGCCCUUUUCUCGUUGUGUAACGAACGCAAUGCUGAUAGAUUACUGCCCGGUUUCCAUGGGGACCUUUUUGUUCUAACUCCAGAUACCGAUGAUUAGGGUUAAA